GACGAACGCUGGCGGCGUGCUUAUCACAAGCAAGUCGAAAGAGUGGCGAACGGGUGAGUAACGCAUCGGAACGUACCGAGGAAUGGGGGAUAACUGUCCGAAAGGAAAGCUAAUACCGCAUAUUAGUCUAGCGGACGAUGUCUGAUUAGCUGGUUGGCGGGGUAAAGGCCCACCAAGGCGACGAUCAGGAGCGGGUCUGAGAGGAUGGUCCGCCACACUGGGACUUAGACAAGGCCCAGAGUCCUACGGGAGGCAGCAGUGGGGAAUUUUGGCAAAUGGGCGCAAGCCUGUUCCAGCCAUGCCGAGUGUCUGAAGAAGGGCGUCGGGUUGUAAAGGACUUUUGUCAGGGAAGCGGUACCUGAAGAAUAAGCACCGGCUAACUACGUGCCAGCAGCCGCGGUAAUUC
rnacentral:rRNA from 1 species